ACUGGGCGUGGUGGCAUGCGCCUGGAAUCCCAGCUAUUCGGGAGGCUGAGGCUGGAGGAUUGCUUGAGUCCAGGAGUUCUCGGCUGUAGUGCGCUAUGCUGAUCCGGUGUCCGCACUAAGUUUGGCAUUAAUAUGGUGACCUCCCGGGAGCAGGGGACCACCAGGUUGCUUAAGGGGGUGACCAGCCCAGCUCUGGAAAUGGAGCAGGUCAAAACUCCCAUGCUGAUCAUUAGUGGGAUCGCACCUGUGAAUAGCCACUGCACUCCAGCCUGGGCAACAUAGUGAGACCCUGUCUCU
rnacentral:SRP_RNA from 1 species